UACGGAGGAUCCUAGCGUUAUCCGGAUUUAUUGGGUUUAAAGGGUGCGCAGGCGGCCAUUUAAGUCAGCGGUUAAAUCGUGGGGCUCAACCCCAUUCUGCCGUUGAUACUGGGUGGCUUGAUUGCGGUCGAGGUUGGCGGAAUUCGUUGUGUAGCGGUGAAAUGCAUAGAUAUGACGAAGAACACCGAUUGCGUAGGCAGCUGACCAGAUCGCAAAUGACGCUCAUGCACGAAAGUGCGGGGAUCGAACAGGAUUAGAUACCCUGGUAGUCCGCACAGUAAACGAUGAAUACUUGUUUUCGGCGAUAUAAUGUCGGAGGCAAAGCGAAAGCGAUAAGUAUUCCACCUGGGGAGUACGCCGGCAACGGUGAAACUCAAAUGAAUUGACGGGG
rnacentral:rRNA from 1 species